rnacentral:rRNA from 1 species
UGGGGAAUAUUGGACAAUGGGGGCAACCCUGAUCCAGCGACGCCGCGUGUGUGAAGAAGGCCUGCGGGUUGUAAAGCACUUUUAGUGGGGACAAAAAGCCACGGGCUAAUACUCUGUGGUCUUGAUUUAACCCAAAGAAAAAGCACCGGCUAACUCUGUGCCAGCAGCCGCGGUAAUACAGAGGGUGCAAGCGUUAAUCGGAAUUACUGGGCGUAAAGCGAGCGUAGUCGGUUAUUUAAGUCGGAUGUGAAAUCCCCGGGCUCAACCUGGGAAUUGCAUUCGAUACUGGAUAGCUAGAGUUCGGCAGAGGGAAGCGGAAUUUCUGGUGUAGCGGUGAAAUGCGUAGAUAUCAGAAGGAACAUCAGUGGCGAAAGCGGCUUCCUGGACCAGAACUGACGAUCAGGCUCGAAAGCGUGGGGAGCAAACAGG